AAUAAGUCUUGGCUAACUACGUGCCAGCAGCCGCGGUAAUACGUAGAAGGCAAACGUUAUUCGGAUUUACUGGGCGUAAAGCGGGUGUAGACGGCUCCCUAAGUCGGGUGUGAAAUCUCCUGACUCAAUCAGGAGGGGUCAUUCGAUACUGGGGAGCUUGAGGGCAGCAGAGGAAGGUGGAAUUCCCGGUGUAGCGGUGAUAUGCGUAGAUAUCGGGAGGAACACCAGUGGCGAAGGCGGCCUUCUGGGCUGUACCUGACGUUGAGACCCGAAAGCGUGGGGAGCGAAACGGAUUAGAUACCCGUGUAGUCCACGCCCUAAACUUUGGACACUAGGUGUGGGGGGUAUCGACCCCCUCCGUGCCGAAGCUAACGCU
rnacentral:rRNA from 1 species